GGUUAAGCGACCAAGCGUACACGGUGGAUGCCCUGGCAGUCAGAGGCGAUGAAGGACGUGCUAAUCUGCGAAAAGCGCCGGUAAGGUGAUAUGAACCGUUAUAACCGGCGAUGUCCGAAUGGGGAAACCCAGUGUGACUCGUCACACUAUCAUUAACUGAAUCCAUAGGUUAAUGAGGCGAACCGGGGGAACUGAAACAUCUAAGUACCCCGAGGAAAAGAAAUCAACCGAGAUUCCCCCAGUAGCGGCGAGCGAACGGGGAGGAGCCCAGAGCCUGAAUCAGCAUGUGUGUUAGUGGAAGCGUCUGGAAAGGCGCGCGAUACAGGGUGAGAGCCCCGUACACAAAAGCGCACAUGCUGUGAGCUCGAUGAGUAGGGCGGGACACGUGGUAUCCUGUCUGAAUAUGGGGGGACCAUCCUCCAAGGCUAAAUACUCCUGACUGACCGAUAGUGAACCAGUACCGUGAGGGAAAGGCGAAAAGAACCCCGGCGAGGGGAGUGAAACAGAACCUGAAACCGUGUACGUACAAGCAGUGGGAGCCCCACCACUAAGCCAGUGGUGAACUCCACAUACGCAUCCUUUGCGGAAGAUGCGGUUAACGGAGCGAAAGCGACGUUCAACCUCAGAAGAAGCAGAGGGGGCUUAGUGGUGGGGUGACUGCGUACCUUUUGUAUAAUGGGUCAGCGACUUAUAUUCUGUAGCAAGGUUAACCGCAUAGGGGAGCCGAAGGGAAACCGAGUCUUAAUUGGGCGUUAAGUUGCAGGGUAUAGACCCGAAACCCGGUGAUCUAGCCAUGGGCAGGUUGAAGGUUGGGUAACACUAACUGGAGGACCGAACCGACUAAUGUUGAAAAAUUAGCGGAUGACCUGUGGCUGGGGGUGAAAGGCCAAUCAAACCGGGAGAUAGCUGGUUCUCCCCGAAAGCUAUUUAGGUAGCGCCUCGUGAACUCAUCUCCGGGGGUAGAGCACUGUUUCGGCUAGGGGGCCAUCCCGGCUUACCAACCCGAUGCAAACUGCGAAUACCGGAGAAUGUUAUCACGGGAGACACACGGCGGGUGCUAACGUCCGUCGUGAAGAGGGAAACAACCCAGACCGCCAGCUAAGGUCCCAAAGUCAUGGUUAAGUGGGAAACGAUGUGGGAAGGCCCAGACAGCCAGGAUGUUGGCUUAGAAGCAGCCAUCAUUUAAAGAAAGCGUAAUAGCUCACUGGUCGAGUCGGCCUGCGCGGAAGAUGUAACGGGGCUAAACCAUGCACCGAAGCUGCGGCAGCGACACUGUGUGUUGUUGGGUAGGGGAGCGUUCUGUAAGCCGUUGAAGGUGUGUCGUG
rnacentral:rRNA from 1 species